rnacentral:rRNA from 1 species
UACGUAGGGACCAAGCGUUGUUCGGAUUUACUGGGCGUAAAGGGCGCGUAGGCGGCGUGUUAAGUCACUUGUGAAAUCUCUAAGCUUAACUUAGAACGGUCAAGUGAUACUGACGUGCUAGAGUGCAGGAAGGGGCAACCGGAAUUCUUGGUGUAGCGGUGAAAUGCGUAGAUAUCAAGAGGAACACCUGAGGUGAAGACGGGUUGCUGGGCCAACACUGACGCUGAGGCGCGAAAGCCAGGGGAGCAAACGGG